GGUGAGAUGGCCGAGCGGUCUAAGGCGCCAGACUAAGGAUCAGGAUGAAUUUGUAAUCCAACCAUUACGUAAUAUUACGUAAUCUGGUCCGCAAGGGCGUGGGUUCGAAUCCCACUCUCAUCA
rnacentral:tRNA from 1 species